AACGAACGCUGGCGGCGUGGAUAAGACAUGCAAGUCGAACGGGAUUACUUUUGUAGCAAUACCGAAGUAAUUUAGUGGCGAACGGGUGCGCAACACGUGGGCAAUCUGCCGAAAAGUGGGGGAUAGCUCGCCGAAAGGCGAAUUAAUACCGCAUGUGGUGAGGGAAGACAUCUUCCUGAAUCCAAAGCCGGGGCAACCUGGCGCUUUUUGAGGAGCCCGCGGCCUAUCAGCUAGNGGUGAGGUAACGGCUCACCAAGGCUUUGACGGGUAGCUGGUCUGAGAGGACGACCAGUCACACUGGAACUGAGACACGGUCCAGACACCUACGGGUGGCAGCAGUCGAGAAUUUUUCUCAAUGGGGGCAACCCUGAAGGAGCGACGCCGCGUGGAGGAUGAAGGCUUU
rnacentral:rRNA from 1 species